AUUGAACGCUGGCGGCAGGCCUAACACAUGCAAGUCGAACGAGUGGCGGACGGGUGAGUAAUGGCUGGGAAAAUGCCUGAUGGAGGGGGAUAACUACUGGAAACGGUAGCUAAUACCGCAUACCAUCGGAUGUGCCCAUAUGGGAUUAGCUAGUAGGGGGGGUAAAGGCUCUCCUAGGCGACGAUCCCUAGCUGGUCUGAGAGGAUGACCAUCCCCCCUGGAACUGAGACACGGUCCAGACUCCUCCUACAACCACCAUUACACAAUAUUACACAAUGAACGCAAGCCUAAUACAGCCAUGCCGCGUGGAUGAAGAAUCCGUGCGGGUUCUAACGUACUUUCAGCGGGGAGGCGUUACCCGCAGAAGAAGCACCGGCUAACUCCGUGCCAGCAGCCGCGGUAAUAC
rnacentral:rRNA from 1 species